rnacentral:rRNA from 1 species
CCUACGGGAGGCAGCAGUGGGGAAUCUUCCGCAAUGGGCGAAAGCCUGACGGAGCAACGCCGCGUGAGUGAAGAAGGUCUUCGGAUCGUAAAGCUCUGUUGUCGGGGACGAAAGAGUAGACGAGGAAAUGCGUCUACUAAGACGGUACCUGACGAGGAAGCCACGGCUAACUACGUGCCAGCAGCCGCGGUAAUACGUAGGCGGCAAGCGUUGUCCGGAAUUAUUGGGCGUAAAGGGAGCGCAGGUGGGACGGUAAGUCCGUCUUAAAAGGCAGGGGCUCAGCCCCUGUAAGGGAUGGAAACUAUCGAUCUUGAGUGCCGGAGAGGAAAGCGGAAUUCCCAGUGUAGCGGUGAAAUGCGUAGAUAUUGGGAAGAACACCAGUGGCGAAGGCGGCUUUCUGGACGGCAACUGACACUGAGGCUCGAAAGCCAGGGGAGCGAACGGGAUUAGAUACCCCAGUAGUC